rnacentral:rRNA from 1 species
UACGAAGGGUGCAAGCGUUAUUCGGAAUUACUGGGCGUAAAGCGUGCGUAGGUGGUUCGUUAAGUCUGAUGUGAAAGCCCUGGGCUCAACCUGGGAAUUGCAUUGGAUACUGGCGGGCUAGAGUACGGUAGAGGGUGGCGGAAUUCCUGGUGUAGCGGUGAAAUGCGUAGAUAUCAGGAGGAACAUCCGUGGCGAAGGCGGCCACCUGGACCAGUACUGACACUGAGGCACGAAAGCGUGGGGAGUAAACAGG